rnacentral:rRNA from 1 species
CAGUAGCCGCGGGAAUACGUAGGUGGCAAGCGUUGUCCGGAAUUAUUGGGCGUAAAGCGCGCGCAGGUGGUUCCUUAAGUCUGAUGUGAAAGCCCACGGCUCAACCGUGGAGGGUCAUUGGAAACUGGGGGACUUGAGUGCAGAAGAGGAAAGUGGAAUUCCAAGUGUAGCGGUGAAAUGCGUAGAUAUUUGGAGGAACACCAGUGGCGAAGGCGACUUUCUGGUCUGUAACUGACACUGAGGCGCGAAAGCGUGGGGAGCAAACAGGAUUAGAUACCCGUGUAGUCCCUGUCUCUUAUAC